CGAUAUCAAUAGCAACGGAUUCGAUAAAGAUCUUAAUACGCGAGCUUGGAAGCGGCCGGUCAACUGUCAACAGGUGGCUCUUACCUAACCCAAUUCACACUGUCAACGUCAAGACAAAUUUAAACGUAAAUAUUGAAAAUUUAACGGUAUUGAAAUAUGGAAAAGUUACUGGUACUUCGCUCGAAAGGUAUGGCACGACCUUACUGUGACGAAUGUGUAUCCUUGGUGGACCUGGAACUUUUUUAUACCCAUCGCAGGAAUUUGGAUGCCGACGACUCACGAACAUCCUUGGAACCAAUCGUUGAAUAAAAAUGCAAUUGGGAAAACUUAAUGAAAAUAGAGUUUUUCCUCAUAAAAACGGUGAAAACAGCGGGACAAAAGCUGGCCACAUGUGUACAAGAAAACCGGCUUUUCAGGAAAACCGCGGGAAACUAAAUCAUGAUUUAUAUUAUAUUUUGCCACACCGGGCAUACCCCUUCAUUUAACAGGGCUUUCCAAGUUUUAGGCAUUUGUGGUUCUUUAUUAUCCUAAGAAUAACCAGGGCUGAAAACAAUAAGGCUAGAGACUACAACAUAGUCAACGGAGAACUAGACAUAACCUAUAAGAAAUCAAACCUUUCCAGAAUACUAUCAAGCUAGCAACCUCUUUAAGUUGGUUUCUUUAUGAAUGUUUAGAAUUAUAAACCCCUCAUGACUCACAGGUAAAGCUUAAAAUGUAUCUUUUUGUUAUGUAAAUUAUAAAUUUAGAGGUUAAAAUGUUAACGGAGCACAAUUAUCUAAGUUGUCUUAUAAAAGACUGCCUGGGCUUACCCUUAUUACUAUAAAAUAAAGACAAAAUCUUCGUUACACCAGAUCUCAGUACUCGUCGGUAAAGUACGGCAACAGGAAUAAGGAGAAUUUUAAAGAAAGAUAAUCUCCGUUCAUAUCACUAUACUCCUGUCCAAAGUUUGCUACCUCUAGAUUUACCAGUUCGCAUACAGUUUGCACAAUUUAUGCUAGAUAAACAAUCCGAAAACCAAAUAAUCAUUUGUGGGACUCCAAAAAUCCACAUGCUCGAAAAAAACGACAUUUUCAGCAUGAAUUCAUGGUAAAUAUUUGGAGAUGGCUGCAAAAUCCCUAAAGCGCAAAAUUCCUAAAACCCAAACGUCCUAAUCGGAGCGGCUCGGCAUACAUCGGAAUUUCUGGGAUCCCUAUUUUACAUUGAACCAAGCAUAGAUCGGUAUUAUAUUUGUCAACGUCGCAUUUCAUAAUCAUCAUGGCCUAGCAACGGUCGGAGCGAGGAUCGUCCAUAAGCGUCGCACUCUUCAGUAAUUUUCUACCUGAGUACCCCAAUUUGUACUAUUUAGGGUUUGAAUAGUCUCUGGUACAGUGGCGUACCUCUGGGUACAGUGGCAUACCCAGAGUUUGGGCUUGGGGGGGAUAUAAAAAAAAAACGAAUAAACAUAAUUUAUUUAUUUUACGUUAAAUUUGAAAUUACAAAACAAAAUCUAAACGCCGUGGCUUCAAAGCGAGAUCAUCAAUAAUUUCAUCAACAGAUAUUACUUCUUCUCGAUGAAUUGAUAGCAUGGCCAAUCCAUUAAGCCGCGUUUGGGUGGUAGUAUUACUCAAAUACGUUUUUAUCCGUUUUAACGUGGAAAAUGUACGUUCUGGCGUCGAAGUUGACACUGGCAAUGUACAAAAAAUUUUUUAGAAGUUUCAGUACAUUGGGAUAGGCAUGCUGACUACAAACUUCCAAACAAGCUAAUGCUUGGCGUUUGUUUUUUAUUUCUGGGAAAUUGUUUAAAUGCUCAUGCCACAGUUUUAUUUCAGAUUUUGUGAUAAUUUUUGGAUAACAUCGGGUAAAUAUAAAUCAAGCAAAUUGUUAAACUUAUUGCUUGAAUCAGUUGAUUCUCCAAUAGAUGAAGGUGAUAAUAUUGUGCGUUAUUCGUUUUACUUUAAUUUCGGCGCCCACACUCGACGCCACUUCCUAAAAAAUAAAUACAAAAGUGAAAUAAUCUCAAAUUAAAAAAAAAGGAUACAAAAUUUACCACUGCUUUGUUAAAAGGCCCUUCAAAAUGUUUGUCAGCAUCUAGUCGCAGCUUCCUUAAGCAUAAAAUUACAUUUUCAGUCACCAUUACAGCCUCUUUUAAAUCAAUGUCCACUUUUUGCAGAACCCGACAAAGUGGCAAACCAAAACUAAAGAUCUGGUUAACUACUUGGAGGGCUAUUAAAAAGUCGGAAUCAAAAAGACUAUUACGCAAAACUGGUGCAUCCCCAGAAUCCCUCCAAGCAGAUAUAUCUUCCAAGCUUUCAACGACGUAUUUGUAAAGUUCCAUGAAGUCUUGCACUGCUUCAUAUUUGGAUAUCCAUCGAGUUGCGCAUAAUCUCUUUAGGGUUUUUGCAGAUGGAUGUUCAUUUGAUUCUUCGAUUUUCUUAAAAGCACAUUUUUGCGCUUUGGAGUAUUAAAAAAAGUAUAUAGUUUUUCAAUAACUCCAAGACAAUUUCUUAUUUGUUGAACCUCACAUGCUUUGGAAAUGGCCAGAUUUAAUGAACGUGCAGCACAAUGUAUAUAAAUAGCCUUUGGACAUCUUUGUCGAAUAAAUUUUUGCACUCCGUUAAAUUUUCCAGACAUGUUACUGGCUCCAUCGUACCCUUGCCCCACCAGGUAGUUUAUAUCCACGCCAAAACUUUCCAGGCUAUUUAAGAUUGUGUUUGAUACAUUUUCACCUGUCAAACUAUCAGCUGGAAUAAACUGUAAGAAAUCUUCAUUUAUUUUGUUAUUAUCACU
rnacentral:lncRNA from 1 species